GCUGCAGGGAAACGGGUGGGACCCGCACGCGCUGGGGACGGGCUGAGGCCCUGGAGACUCCCCAGCGAGGCUGAGGACGGGCCCUGAGAGCAGGUGGACCCCGGCCGAGGCAGAGCUGCCGGCUCCCCGGGCGCGGGGAGGGGGGCUUCCCCUGCCAAGCUUCAUCCUCCGGGGCAGUCGUGGCCGGGAGGGCCGAGGAAGGGGCGUCGCGAGCACCAGCACCGCCUGCCCUGCGCUGACGCAUGACUCAUCCGUUCCGGGUCAGCAAACAUCCGCCUGCAAAGGCUUCCCCCCUCACAGGGCGUGGGGCGCAAACACCCCGCCCCGCUGACUUCCCAGAGGGCCCGGCUCGCCGGCCCUACCUUGUCCCCCAGGCCCGGCUGUCCGAGGUCCAACCCCCACCUUUCCGGGGCCAGGGUGCCCCCUCGGGGGAGGGGCUGGAGUUGGCCUGGCCCCUGCCUCUCCUCUUCCCCCGGAGGUGUCAAACUCGGGGCCUCGGGGUCCCUCCCGUUCCCCGGACCUCCGCCAGGGCCACCUGAGUCCGCCGCGCGGCGCUGCCAACGUGUGAUUCUCUGGAAGGAGGGCGGGGCCGCGCGCACAGCUGGUCGAGGGGCAGGUGGCGCCUCUCGCCGGGGCUCCCCGGGGGCUCCGAGCGCUUUAUCUGGUGCGGGCAGACGCUCGUUCUGACCUUGUCCUUCCUGCGGCGUCCGCCUGGCAGGUACAGACAGACACACGGGGGGGUCUCCCUCCCUCCUGGCGCUGCAGGUGGCGCAGGCCACCCACUCACGCGGCGCUCAUGAGACUCACGCGCCCGCGCACGUGACCUGGUGUGUGCCUCGCGUGGGGCGCCCGGGUGCCCGCGUCCCGCCGCUCACCUGGCCGAUCCCUUAGCGAGGACGUGGCCGCCUCACCUUUUGCUGUCACCACCGGCGCCCCCGCGAUGAGCCGCGCACGCCCCAGGUCUCACACGUGGGCAGGUGCACCUGUGGCAGCCAGCCCUGGGAGGGGGGAGGCCGGGUCUGGGGACGGGCAGGGUCUCCGGGGAAGGAGCCCCCGGAUUCCGCUCCUGCACCCCCACCAUCAGCCGUGCCCGCCUGCUCCCCACGCCUUGCCUGACGGCGACGCCUGAUUCUGGAUUCUGAUGGCUGCGAAAUGGGAUUUCGAUACCGUGUUAACGUGCACCGCUCUGAUCACACACAGCUUUCUCUGUGUUUGUCAUUUUGUGUUUUUUUCCUGAGGGAUCUGUUCAUAUCCUCUGCCCCUUUUUAUCGCUUCCUUUUAUAAUCCUAGGAGCCUUUUGUAGAUCAGGGAGAUAGACCUUUGCGAUGUGGGUUGCCAAUAUUUUUCCCUAGUGUAUACUUUGUGUUGUGACUUCGCUUAUGGUGAUUUUUGCCUUAAAUCUUUUUGAGUGUGUCUGGGGGUUUAUUUUAUUUUAUUUUAGAGAGAAAGAGCAGGUGAGCAGGAGAGAGGGGCAGAGAGAGAGAGAGAGAGAGAAUCCCAAGCAGGCUCCGGGCUGUCCUUGCAAAGCCUGACGUGAGGUGUGAACUCACAAACUGUGAGAUCAUGACCCGAGCUGAAACCAAGGGUCGGACGCUUAACUGACUGGGCCACCCAGGCGCCCCAAGAUUUCCAUUUUCACCACUUUUAAGCACACAGCUGAGUGGCACCCAGUACGUUCUCGUUGUUGUGCAAGCGUUUCCACAGUCCAUUUCCAGAAGGUUUUCAUCACUUACCGGCUUCUUCUUAAAAACGUCAGGUCUCUGGUCCAUUGGAAAUGUACAAUACUGAUGUGCAGUGAGGACCUCUUUUUGCAAAUGGUCGUCACGCUGUUUCUACAUGACUCAUUGAAAAACCCACCCUCCUUCUAUUUUACUGAGCCCGUUUUACAGUUGGGGAAACUGAGGCCAGGACUGUGCAGUGAGGAGUGCCCGGGUCACACCUGCACCCUCCACCUCGUCCCAGCCGCCCAGGGUCCGGCUCUUCCUGCCUUCGGGGAGCUGAUGUGGGAGAACCUCGGAGCUGCUCUCAGAAACCAAACGUUCUAGAAGACGCUGAGGUCCAGAUAGGGGAAAGUGGACGCGAGGAACCAAAUCGUUCACAACCCGAGGGGCCGGCAGCCCCAGCUUUCCUCUGAGGAGGCCCCUUGCACAUCUGAGGGGACGUCGGGGCGGGGGUGGGGGAUCGACCCUGGAGCGAUGGGCCGGUGUUGAGGUGGUCAGCAAACACCCGUGUGCCCGUUUAGCCCCCAAGGCCCGGCACGCCCAGUGAAAACGAGGUCGCUCAGGAAGAGGCCCAUUUCUCCAGGCGGCUUCCUGAAUGCCAAGCCACGCUGCGGCGCUAACCGUGGACCACAGGCCCACAAACUUCCUGGCACUUUCUCCUGCCUGUUUCCUAGAAUCCCCCCCACAAGGCAACUGAGGCUCUUGAACGCCCCUCAGCAGGUGCAGCCGUGCCCACGGGAGGCCUGUGGUCGCCCCCAGAGCCCUGGCGAGUUUCCUCCACUCUUCGUCCGGAACUCAGACGUGCAGCCUCGUUGAGGCAGCUCGCUUUUUCUGCAAGACGGACCCAGGAACGGUCAAGGGGCUCGGCCUCCCAUCCUAGUGCUGGGGGGGGGGGGGUGGCGUUGGUGGGCUGGCGGGCCACGUGACUUGGGAGGCGCCAGAUAUCCCUACCUAACAGAAGUAAAUAAAACCAACGGAUGGCCAAAGCCGUCAUUAUUGAGUUUGUUGUGUAUACACCGAAAAGACAGUUGGCAAAGCCGGGAACACUCAAACCAAAACACAGAAGGGGGCUCGGGGGGUGUCCUUAGGGAGCGGCUUCUAUGGUGAGAAAGCACAGUGUUCAUUCUCCACAGGGUUUGGUUUUCGUAUCAGAAUUUUCCUAAACGGCAGGGAAUUGGUUAGCGGUCCUCUCACAUCAACCUCGGGAAAGAGAGGAAGCUUUGCUCUGAUUUUCAGAGGCACAAUCAAGAAAUGACUUGGGUCAACUUAGCCUUGCAAAAUCCGCUACCUUAGCUUCGUUGGUAUGACCAAACUGGUGGUGUCUGUUCAGGGAGUUUGCAAGGGGAUUGGUCCUAAUGGGUACCAUUCGGCACACCAGGAGCUGCCUACUGCAUUUCAAACCCUGGAGAGUGUACAAGGUACUGGAGAGGCCAGCAUGAUGACCGUAAGGGCAGCAAUACCCGAGGACUGAAAAGUUCCCCGGAGCCGAGGUUCCCAGGAGCGAAGAUGUCACAAUUCAAAUACAUUAAAUGCGUUAUAUUUUUUUAAAGUUAUUUUUCAAAAGCAUGCAUAAUGUCUUAACAGUCGCAUCGCCCAACAGUUGCUUAGGACACGGUGAACUUGAGGGUGUUGGCCAGUGCUUCAGUUGGGCUCCAUCUAAAUCAGGUCUCUAUACGACACGAGCGAGCGGGUAGUUUAACGACAGAGAUUUCUACGGCAACAAAAGAAAAAGGUUAAUACUUCAAGCAAAUUACAAAUUCAGUUUCUGAGUUUGGAGAGCGGCCAGUUGAGUUUGCAGACGUCGGGGUUGGAGACUCUUCAGAUGAGGCGAGAGCAGGGCAGUGGUGAUCUGACCCGUUUCUCUGGCUUGCAGCAUGAAUGUGCCUGGGGAUCUUUCCAAGUAGUCACACGGCCCCAGGCACGGGUCGCCGUCCACACACACGAGCUGUUGUGCUGAGCUCUCCGAAGUUGACAUCGAGUUGUCCAGCGUUGGGCAAAGGAUGGUUUUAGUUUCAUAAAGAUUCCAAGUCCAGAGAAUGGGAGAAUUGGAAAUGUUAGUUUGGAAAAUUCUAGCCAAAUUUUGGAGGAAACUGGAAGAAUUCAGGAUGCAGUCCAGAUUACAGGUAGAAAACAAAAUCUCAGAGACAAGAAACAGCACUAGAAUCUGAUAUCCACAAAGAUGUAUUAUCGAAGCCUAUUUUUCUCUCUGUAAUCAUCCCCUGUCUAUCAAAGAUAACCACAGUAAGACUAAUUUGCUUGCAAAUUAAGACUGUUUCCAAAUACUUGGUAUGAUUAUUUACAUAGGUACACAGGAAUAGUGAUUGAUCACAUAGGUGCUUUUCAAAAAUGUUUAUUUGUUUGUUUUUGAGAGAGAGAGAGAGAGAGAGAGAACAGGGGAGGGGCAAAGAGAGACGGAGACACAGAAUCCGAAGCAGGCUCCAGGCUCUGAACUGUCAAGGCAGAACCUGAAGAGGGGCUCAAACCCAUGAACCAUGAGAUCAUGACCUGAGCCGAAGUUGGAUGCUUAACCAACUGAGCCACCCAGACGCCCCCUUAUAGGUGCUUUUAAAUCUACUUUGCUGGAAUGUUUCAUAAAGGAACUCAGAUUAGACUUUCAAAAGCAUCUCCAGGCCAGGAAGCCAAGCCAGUUUUGUGUUGUUAUAGGGAGAACAGAUUAUUUUUAAACUUAUGCAACCACACAUAUUGUCAUGAAAAAUAAGAGUAUUUAAUUAAAAAAUAAAACAAUUUAAAAAGAGAAUAGCAAGAGUUUCUAAUAUCUGGAGGAAUGGGGGAGGGGGAAGAAAAACGUUUCAACCUUUGUUGCAAAGAUACACUUUACCAAACUGUUGUGAGUCAUAGAUAACUUCAGAAGAGGAGAAAAAGGAUCCUUUACAUCUGGAAAACAAGACCUUAAAGAACCAGCAACGCUGUAAAUGAAGUCGUCCAAAUUACAGUCAUCUCUAUCAGUUUGUUCAGUGUUUUGUAAUUAACAAAAUUGUUUUGCUUCAUCUUGAGUUAGCGGCUUUACGACUCAAUCAGUUUUCCAUUAAAGUUUCAGAAAUCCUCACUCAGUUCAGUGCUAUGGUCUUGAGGUUUUCAGAGAACCUGCAUUCUGGACUGCUUGUUAGGGUUGUUCCCAUGAAUGUCUUUGUAAAGGAAGCAUUUUUGCAGGAACGUUUUUUGUGAAAGCAUCAGAAUAAAACAGUAAGUGUCUGUAAAUGGCAAAAGGCUUAAAAAUGGCCAUGGUUAAAGAUGUAGUGAGAGUUCAUUAUAAUGCCUUCGACAAGGAAAUUUGGUUCUUAUUUAAAAAAAAUUUUUUAUGUUCAUUUUUGAGAGAGACAAAGAGAGAGAGAGAGAGAAAGAGCAAGCAGGGGAGGGGCAGAGAGAGAGGGAGACCCAGAAUCUGAAGCAGGUCAGCACAGAGCCUGAUGUGGGGCUCGAACUCCCGAACCCUGAGAUCAUGACCUGAGCUGAAGUUGGAUACUCAACCGACUGAGCCACCCAGAAGCCCCAGAAAUUUGGUUAUUUUAUGUGACAUACAUUUUAAAACAAUAACCUGAAUUACGACAUAACAUUAUAGCAGGACAUGUCAGACUUUAAGAAUUUCAUGGAAUUUCUGGAAUGCUUAUAUUACUAACAUAUAUUUAUACAGGUAUCAGCUAAAGACUUCAUUCUUUAUUUGACAAUGCUUCCCAUGGAAUGUAACAAAACAUAAUUUGUUCAGCAUCUCUUUUAUAAGGAGAGGGAACAAAUCUUUUGAGAUAGUCUAGGGAUCCUUUUUAAAAUCCCAAAGUUAGUUUGGGGUUAAAAGGACUUCAUUUAGGGGCGCCUGGGUGGCGCAGUCGGUUAAGCGUCCGACUUCAGCCAGGUCACGAUCUCGCGGUCCGGGAGUUCGAGCCCCGCAUCGGGCUCUGGGCUGAUGGCUCAGAGCCUGGAGCCUGUUUCCGAUUCUGUGUCUCCCUCUCUCUCUGCCCCUCCCCCGUUCAUGCUCUGUCUCUCUCUGUCCCAAAAAUAAAUAAACGUUGAAAAAAAAAAUUAAAAAAAAAA